GAGCGGAUGAACUGAGGGUAGCGGAGAAAUUCCAAUCGAACCUGGAGAUAGCUGGUUCUCUCCGAAAUAGCUUUAGGGCUAGCCUCAAGUGAUGAUUAUUGGAGGUAGAGCACUGUUUGGACGAGGGCCCCUCUCGGGUUACCGAAUUCAGACAAACUCCGAAUGCCAAUUAAUUUAACUUGGGAGUCAGAACAUGGGUGAUAAGGUCCGUGUUCGAAAGGGAAACAGCCCAGACCACCAGCUAAGGUCCCAAAA
rnacentral:rRNA from 1 species